rnacentral:lncRNA from 1 species
GAGAAGACAAGGUGUUGUAGUGACAAAUCUUAUAACUAUAUAAGUAAAAAUAAGGAAAAAGAUUUUAUUCAGGCAGACGGCUUAUGUGGCGUUUGAAUUAAUAAGGUGUCUUAAAGGAGAUGUUAUGAACACAGGUUCUCACGGCAACAAAUCGAGUGCGAAAGAUAAAGUAUUCAGCAGACAUUCCCAAUAGAUGCCGGAAUAGGUUCUCAUGGUAACAAAUCGAGCGUGACAGACCAAGUGUUUUCCAGAGAGCUUCAGAACUAGGUACAGGUUCUUGUGGCAACUACUAGAGCGUUACAGAUCAGUCAUUCACUAGAAAGUUCAAAUUGCUGGUUCUCAAGGCAUCUCAAAUCGAGCGUUAUUUAUUAGCCAUUCCAGUACUUGCAG